AUUGAACGCUGGCGGCAGGCCUAACACAUGCAAGUCGAACGAGUGGCGGACGGGUGAGUAAGGCCUGGGCAACUUCCUGAUGGAUGGGGAUAACCACUGGAAACGGUAGCCCAUACCGAACACAAUCUGAUGUGACUAGCUGGGAUGAGGUAGUGGGAGGGGUACAGGCUCACCUAGGCGACGACCCCUUGCUGGUCUGAGAGGCUGACCAGCCACACGGGAACUGAGACACGGUCCAGACUCCUAAGGGAGGCAGCAGUGGGGAAUAUUGCACAAUGGGCGCAAGCCUGAUGCAGCCAUGCCGCGUGUAUGAAGAAGGCCUUCGGGUUGUAAAGUACUUUCAGCGGGGAGGCGUUACCCGCAGAAGAAGCACCGGCUAACUCCGUGCCAGCCGCCGCGGUAAUUC
rnacentral:rRNA from 1 species